UCAUUCCCACGCAGUCCACGUGAUACCACGUGUGUAAAAUGGUGUCUAACUGAUUGUGUAAAGAAAACUUUUAUACCCCAACUAGUCAUGAUUAUGACAUUACUGUCCCUAUUGUGUUUUGGGGCCAUCAUCCUCCAGUAUACGAUAUUACCUGUAUGACCAGGACAGAGGAGGAUAAAGGAGGAGCUACUGCCUACUGGUACUGAAACGGGGCAGAUUUGUAUCUUGAACUUAUAUGGGAAGAGAAUCAACGGAGAAUUUGUGGUUAUUACUAUCACUUAAAAGCCGUAAUGUAUCAUUUUAUUUCUUAUUAAUUCACAUCUUUUUCUAGUUAUGGAGAAUUUGUGGUUAGACCAAUUAUCACUAUCACUUAAGAGCCUUUAUGUAUCAUUUUAAUUAAUGCGCACCACAAUUUCCAAUUAAUAUCCAUCUUUUUCUAGUUAUGUUCGAGACUAUUAUUACUAGGAAUGCAGUCUGGAGACAGGGACAGGAUUGUCAGUCUUAGUAAAAAUGGGUGCAUUGAUGUGGUGGGGGUGUGGCUAGUUAUUAAUGUUAUAUUGAUAGUUGCAUAGCAUUGUGGGAUGGUAAAGAUUGGACGUAUCUUAAGACUGUUAAUAAUCUUGGAAAUGGAAUGCAUUAUGGAAUAAAGUCAAUAGCGCGUCCUGCUAUUAAAGAAACCUUGAUUGGAGUUUGGGGACAAUAUCACAAUAUAUUUAUACUCGAUCCUAAUACACUGGAGUUCAUUUGUGCUUUGAAAUCCUCUCACAAUUCAAACUGGAUAUCACAACUUAGGGAAGGUAAUACGGAAGCUGCAGGUGUGGGGUCUGUCAUUGGUAAGCUUCAUUGAGAGGAAGGUUCUGCUGCUCCUGAUUUCAAGUCUCAUUUCACUGGCUCUCUCUCUGACUCAUGGCAGUCCCCAGCCACUUCUUGUUCCCUUAUUGACUCAGUUUAUCCCAGUAUCAGUGCUGGUCCUUCUUCCAAUGUUACUGUUUCGGUUGAUCUGUGGAUUGUCCAAUGGUGGUAUUAUAGUUCUAUCAGGAACUCAAGCAGCUACCAAACUCUUACUAGCCAAGAGAAAGUUCUCAAGAGCAUGGUCUCAGUAUUAUUUCUUAAGAGGUCACAAGAGAAGAGUCCCCUCCUGUUGUAUCUUGUGACUGUAGCACUGCUUAUGAUAGCAAUCACUUGUUAUCUGGUGGUCCUGAUUUCUCUGUUAGAUUGUGGGACCUCUUCAAAGGAAUAUUGUUCCACACUAUUGCAGUUCAUGGUGGGUGGUCAGUAGCAUUGUAACAUGUCCUCCUCAU